rnacentral:rRNA from 1 species
GACGAACCGUGCGAACGUUGUUCGGAUUCACUGGGCUUAAAGGGCGCGUAGGCGGCUUGCCAAGUCAGGGGUGAAAUCUUUCGGCUUAACCGGAAAAGUGCUUCUGAUACUGGCAGGCUGGAGGGAGGUAGGGGCAGAUGGAACUUCCGGUGGAGCGGUGAAAUGCGUAGAUAUCGGAAGGAACGCCGGUGGCGAAAGCGAUCUGCUGGACCUCUUCUGACGCUGAGGCGCGAAAGCCAGGGGAGCAAACGGG